rnacentral:rRNA from 1 species
AUUGAACGCUGGCGGCAGGCCUAACACAUGCGAGUCGAACGGUAACAGGAAGCAGCUUGCUGCUUUGCUGACGAGUGGCGGACGGGUGAGUAAUGUCUGGGAAACUGCCUGAUGGAGGGGGAUAACUACUGGAAACGGUAGCUAAUACCGCAUAACGUCGCAAGACUAAAGAGGGGGACCUUCGGGCCUCUUGCCAUCGGAUGUGCCCAGAUGGGAUUAGCUAGUAGGUGGGGUAACGGCUCACCUAGGCGACGAUCCCUAGCUGGUCUGAGAGGAUGACCAGCCACACUGGAACUGAGACACGGUCCAGACUCCUACGGGAGGCAGCAGUGGGGAAUAUUGCACAAUGGGCGCAAGCCUGAUGCAGCCAUGCCGCGUGUAUGAAGAAGGCCUUCGGGUUGUAAAGUACUUUCAGCGGGGAGGAAGGGAGUAAAGUUAAUACCUUUGCUCAUUGACGUUACCCGCAGAAGAAGCACCGGCUAACUCCGUG